rnacentral:rRNA from 2 species
GAUAAGAGCUGAAAGCAUCUAAGCUCGAAGCCACCCCAAAGACGAGACACCUCAGAACGCUCGUAAAAGACGAGAUGAUAGACAGCGGAUGU